rnacentral:lncRNA from 1 species
UUACAGCAUCUGUGCUGUUACGUGACACUUUCUAAGGCUUCCAUUGACUCUCUAAAGCGUUCAGAAAACGGAAUGACGCGUCUCCUGUCUCUGGGCAAAGUACAGGAGCAGAGUUUGUAAGUGGACUGCCUGGGGACAGUGAGACUGGAGAUGCGCGGUCACGAGACCUCACCAUUUUUUUAUUUUCCUCUUUGAAUGAAUACAACGUUGUCCGGUUGGAAUAUUAUCGCUAUUUUACGAGAAAAAUAGCAUAAAAAUGAAUUUUUAACAGCGUUUGACAUGCUUCUAAGUACGGUAAUGGAAUAUUUCGAAAAAAUUUGGUCACGAAAUGCGCUCGCACGUUACCCUUCGGAUAGUGACCUGAACGCACGAACAAAACGGAUGUAUUGGGAUAUAACUAUGGAUUAUUUGGAACCAAAACAAUAUUUGUUGUUGAAGUAGAAGUCCUGGGAGUGCAUUCUGACGAAGAACAGCAAAGCGCUCAGGCUGGUGACAUUCCGAAGCAGAGAGAGGAGUACGAAAGGAUGAAACAAGAUCUCCAACAUAAGGUCCAGGAGGUGGAGGAAGAGCUGGCUAUACAGAACCAGGUGAAGCUGCUCUCUAAGGAGACAGAGGUCCACUCCUAGGCUGUGGAGGCCCUGAAGGCCUCAGAGGAUCUUACAGCACAGAGACUGGGAGAUAAAUGAUAUCACCUCCGUCAAGGACGCACUUACAAUGAUUCAUGCCAGCCUUAUUUCCCAUUGUCAUUUCAAAGGAGCCAGAGGACAAACUAAAAGCUAUGCAGACCAAGAGGAAGAGAGAGGAGGAGAGAGGAAGAGAUAGAGGAGGGGAGAGGAGGAGAGAGGAAGAAGUAUACAAUAAGAAGGGAGUCCUAGAUCUUACUACUACUACUAUACAAAUGCCACAGACAGAGGCACAAAGACAGACCAAUUAGCAGCAUAUGAGUAGUAGUCCUAGACUAAUGGUGGUCUAUUGGAUGGUGUCUUGAUGUUCCCAUCUGUAGCCAUGAUGAAUUGGACCGGGGAGUGAGAGGCUCAGCUGGAUGCAUUACGGGACGCUUACAGAGAACAGCUACGACUGGCGGAGACAGAUACCGAUCAUCUACGGUCACAACUGGAUGCUAUGCCAACACACACACACACACACGCAGGCCCCGGAGAGACCACAAGGAAAUACUGCGGAACAGACACACACAGUGUCUCACCUGUCUAUGUGUGUAUGUGUGUGUGCAUUCUGUGUUAACUGGGUCUGUGUUUUGACUGUGUGAGUGUGUGUAUUUUAUCCAUGAUGUGUGUGUUUCUGGUCCAAAGCCCUGGAUGAUCACAGUGUUUGUACAUGCUCAGAGUGUGUGAGAGUGUGUGGUAGGAGUUCUUCAGCUUUCCCACCCGGCCCGAAAUGUAUAAAUUAUAUAUUUU